GGUUAAGCGACUAAGCGUACACGGUGGAUGCCCUGGCAGUCAGAGGCGAUGAAGGACGUGCUAAUCUGCGAUAAGCGUCGGUGAGGUGAUAUGAACCGUUAUAACCGGCGAUUUCCGAAUGGGGAAACCCAGUGUGUUUCGACACACUAUCAUUAACUGAAUCCAUAGGUUAAUGAGGCGAACCGGGGGAACUGAAACAUCUAAGUACCCCGAGGAAAAGAAAUCAACCGAGAUUCCCCCAGUAGCGGCGAGCGAACGGGGAGGAGCCCAGAGCCUGAAUCAGUGUGUGUGUUAGUGGAAGCGUCUGGAAAGGCGUGCGAUACAGGGUGACAGCCCCGUACACAAAAAUGCACAUAUUGUGAGCUCGAUGAGUAGGGCGGGACACGUGGUAUCCUGUCUGAAUAUGGGGGGACCAUCCUCCAAGGCUAAAUACUCCUGACUGACCGAUAGUGAACCAGUACCGUGAGGGAAAGGCGAAAAGAACCCCGGCGAGGGGAGUGAAAAAGAACCUGAAACCGUGUACGUACAAGCAGUGGGAGCCUCUUAAUGGGGUGACUGCGUACCUUUUGUAUAAUGGGUCAGCGACUUAUAUUCUGUAGCAAGGUUAACCGAAUAGGGGAGCCGAAGGGAAACCGAGUCUUAACUGGGCGUUAAGUUGCAGGGUAUAGACCCGAAACCCGGUGAUCUAGCCAUGGGCAGGUUGAAGGUUGGGUAACACUAACUGGAGGACCGAACCGACUAAUGUUGAAAAAUUAGCGGAUGACUUGUGGCUGGGGGUGAAAGGCCAAUCAAACCGGGAGAUAGCUGGUUCUCCCCGAAAGCUAUUUAGGUAGCGCCUCGUGAAUUCAUCUCCGGGGGUAGAGCACUGUUUCGGCAAGGGGGUCAUCCCGACUUACCAACCCGAUGCAAACUGCGAAUACCGGAGAAUGUUAUCACGGGAGACACACGGCGGGUGCUAACGUCCGUCGUGAAGAGGGAAACAACCCAGACCGCCAGCUAAGGUCCCAAAGUCAUGGUUAAGUGGGAAACGAUGUGGGAAGGCCCAGACAGCCAGGAUGUUGGCUUAGAAGCAGCCAUCAUUUAAAGAAAGCGUAAUAGCUCACUGGUCGAGUCGGCCUGCGCGGAAGAUGUAACGGGGCUAAACCAUGCACCGAAGCUGCGGCAGCGACACUAUGUGUUGUUGGGUAGGGGAGCGUUCUGUAAGCCUGUGAAGGUGGCCUGUGAGGGUUGCUGGAGGUAUCAGAAGUGCGAAUGCUGACAUAA
rnacentral:rRNA from 1 species